CUUCACGGGGGAGAAUCAUAACAGCGGAGCAGCAACGGAGAACAUCACCGCACUGAGCGAUUGGAGGAUCCAGCAUCUUUGAGUCCUGAUCGGAAAUAAUCUCCUGGAUCCAUUCUGGUUAAGGAUUCCUAUAUAUAACAAGCUUAAAAGAGGGGUUAAAACAAACUUGUUACUUUUCAGCGCUGACACGUGUGGAAAACUUCUGCUUUCAUCUGUUCGCACCAGCUGAUGGAUUAAAACACAACAAAACUAUGGAUCGUUUUGAAUGAAAAAGAGGAUUUAUGUUUCCCAGGAUGAGUUGGAUCUGCUCCUGUCUUGCUGCUGCUGUUGGACACUCCAUUCUCUUGGGAUACACGCAUUGCUCUAGUGUGGUCAAUAAGAAGAUGUUUACUUUUCUGGAUAUAUGCAACUUAUACAUACUUGUGGAUUUGGACUUACCAUGAGGAAAAAAAGUAUAAGGAAAUAUACUGGAGUAUAACUGAAAGCUUAUCUUAAUUGGAUGUCCAGUGACUGUUAUGGUCAGUGUGACUCUCCUCAUCAAUCAGGUCCUCUGGCUCUCUCUGAGCUUAAAGAGCAAGGAUGAAGGCCCUGUCAGAGCUGUCUGGCUUGCAUACAUCACUCUCCGCUGGGCUUUUAUCUAGCCAGACUGGACUGCGCUCCAUCCAGACCCGGCUGCCGGCAAGUGCACAGUCCUGAGACCUGUGGCAUUAAUAAAGAUAAUGCUGUUUGGAAUAAUAACAGCCAAUUCAACUCAAUAGAGGAAAGAGAAUGGACAUACAAGUGUCAUGGAAAACAAAAGAAGCCAAGAUGAAAGGCUGAAAGGCUACCCCAGGUGAGCAGGGAAAAGAGGCUGACUAAUGGAAACAUAAUCUCAAUGGUUUUAGAAGGAUGGCACCUAAUAACGAGUUGGACAGCUGCCUUGCAUCCCCUUGAGGCAGAUGUUCGCUCUUGGAACGACAGAUGACAGAGGGAGCUACUUCUUUGACAAUCUAGCUGUCAGGAUCAAGCCAGGAGUCGAACUUGAAAAAAAACUGUGACACAAACUCAAAGGCAGAGCGGAGAAGAUUCAGCAGCUCAGACACUGUGGAACACAUCUGUCAACAUCUGGAUACACGCUCAGUAGAAAAAUCGAUGUAAUGAAUGUACUGAUGCCACAGUUACAUCAACCAUCGACACAUUGUUUGGCUUUCUCAUUUUUUCCUGAAAUGAACUUGGAUAAAUAUUGUUUCUGCGUGUGCAUCUGCUCCUGAUUUUCUGUAUUUUUUCAUACUGUGACAUUUAUUCUUGACAUGGUAUAAACCAACUGCUGGAAAUUUUAAAAGAUAUUAAUCAGAUGGACUUUAAACCUUUAUACUAUUGUUUUCAUAUACAAAGUACUUAAAUUCUGUUUAGUGUCCUAGAAAAAAAAACGUUCAUAGCCAUUGAACUUUUACAACCACAAAUCUCAAAAUAUUGUAAUGGGAUUUCAUAUCAAACCAAAACAAACAAAAGUCGUCCAUAGAUGCAAAAGGAUGAGGAGGCAUGGUUUAAACAGUUUCCCAGGUAGAAAUCUGCAAAGUGAGGCAUAUAUAUGCAUUUUACUUUCUGUUUCAGUUAAACUUUCAAAGUGUUUUUUUAUACCUCUAUCAACUCCCCUCAUCAAAGAGGGACAUUUUUGCGGUAUAGCUUGAACUUUUUCACACUGAAUGGUGAGUGUCUGCAUAAGUCCAUUUUGAAGUUUACUUAAGGUUCCUAAUUAUAUUUAGGUCUUGACUUUUAUAUUUCAGCUUAUAAAUAUGCUUUCAUCCAAAUGAGGGAUCUAUAGACAUAAUUGAUCUGAAUGGAUGUUAAUGGUCUUUGUCCUUCUGAAAGUUAGCCCUGAUUAGCCUCUGCUCUAAUCUCCAGUAUUCUGCAGUCUCUAACAGGUGGUGUUCCAGGAUCAUCUUGUACAGUAUGUAGCUCCAUCCAUGUUUGCAGUUACUCUGACCAGGUCCUUGCUAAACAGCUGCAAGCCACUGCUGCCAUAGUUUGCCAUAAGGACAAUUCAGUUUUAGUGUUCCACGUUUUGAAGGCGGAUUAUAUCUUUUUUGAAGAUGAUCAGAGCAAAGGAGGAUUAAAAAUGUAUGCAUGCUGCACACAAUGCAUCCUUUAUUUUAAAGUUUACAAUUACUCCUUCUCUGUGUUCCCAAUAAAAUGCAUUGGAAUGUAAAGUUGUGAACAAUUUUGCAGUGCUGUUAACUUUUUAAUGCACUAAAAAAAUGAACUUGUUUGUGAUUAAGGUGCUGCCCAGCACCUGUUUAUUCAGUGGAAUUAAAGCUCUUAUCUUCCAGUUACCUUCACAAAGACGCUAUUGUCUCAAGUUUUGAUGAAUGCAAACUGAAAACACUCCCAACAGCAUUUCUUUGUGACACAUUGGCAAACCUUUAAUGUAGGCUGAACAUUCUCGCAAACUGUUAAUUCUAAUCAUGAUUUAUUGCUCUGCCACUUGUGUUGUGACUGGAGAAACCUGCCAGGAGAAAUAGAAAAGGGUAUUUAAACUGCUUUCUGUUUGUCUUCUCACUGCACCUGAAGAUUUAUCAGACCAAUAAAGUGGAUAUUUUUUUAAUGAUUCUAACACAUCUCUUCUAUUCCUGUUAUUAAUAAGUUUAAAUUUAGCAUAGUUUUUUUGCAGUCAAAACGGCUUGUCUACUUCCCUUGACAUGAUUACGGUUAAUUAUUCUAAAGGUACGAUGAGGGUUUUGUUUAAAAGCUAUAUACUAUAUGCAGUUAUGCAUUUUGUGAAACACGUGGCUCACUGUACAGCUCAUAUCCAAAGCCAAAAAGCAAUCUCCUUGGCUAGAAAAAUGACAUAAAUCUACUGCCUGUCAUGAUUUUUUUUUUUUGGUUGUUCUGUUUCUGUGGGGGAUUAAUCAUACAGAAUACAUUUUUAUGGUCAAACUUACACAAGUUCAGAUGUAUAAUUGCAUUUUCAUUAAUAACCAUCCACCACUAAUAAAAGGUGAGUAUAGGCCAAUUUGGGACAAGAUAAGACAUGUGUUUUCUAAGCAUCGUCAGAUUUCUGGUAAAUUUCUAGUUGGAUAGUUGACUACUCCUCAUUAAGAAAAAAAAUACAUUUCAUAUUCACGGAUUAAUUUCUUUGCACAGAAUCAGCUUUUUCUAGGAGUGCUCCAUAGCUGCUCAGUAGUUUUUAAACCAGCCCUUUUUUGAAAGCAAUUCUAAAAGCAUUUGAUUUGUCUUCUUUAUAUGAUACAAAAGCAUUUAUUGUUUGUUUUGGAUCUUUUUCCUGUUUUGAGUUUAAUCUGUAAAAAUUCCUUACCAUCUGAGCUAACCCCUAGCCCCAAAUAAACACACUGAGAGGCCAUACGCUAUCUGGAGUAAGAUUUCAAGGUCAUGGUAGACUACAAUGGUUAGAAUAACGAAAAGUAUGCAAAAAUAGGUGCAUGAAUAAACCCAAGAAAAAUCCAGCAACUAACAAGUUGGUUUUGGUAGCAUAAUGAUGAGGGUCUGUGUGUCUGUCAAUGUCAUGGGAAAUAAUGCAGCAGUGAAAUUAUUUGGCUUCACCUUAAUGAAAGUUCUACAGGAUUGAAACAUUGUCACAAUUUGAUAUUAUAAUAGGAAGGAUUCCAUGGGCACAUUUAAAUCAAUUACAAAAUGGGUAAAGAAUGAAAACUUUAAGCCAACUAAUGUGAUAUUUCUCCAAGUUGCCACGAGACAUUAUUGGGUUGU